AUAUAAUUAUAAGUGUACUCGUCAAAUUUCAGGAGAAAACGAGUUAAAACGGAGAAGUUACGCGACCCGGAAGUUUGACUUAAGUGAAUAGUAACUCCGGUUUUCCGGAGAGGCCGCAGAGUAGAGUGGACUUUCGACACGUAUCGGACUCCGAAUAUAGCCUUCCAAUAGCUCGUUUUCAACCGCUCGACUAUCCUGGACCCAAUGGCACUGACGGAAUUGGAUUUGGAUGCACGGAUUUCGAGAAAAAGGGGUUUAAUGGUUUUAGCAUAUAGUCGUCUAUAUGCGGGUUUUGGUGGAACUUUGGAGGGAUGGUUUUGUCGCAAAUCGGAAACCUUUUCGGGCGAAACAAAAUGCUAGAUUCGAUGCCUCUGUCGUGCUGAUCGCGCUGGUGCGAUCCGAUCGGAAAUCCGACGGACGGAUCUUCGGGAAUCGCGAAAAGUCCGCGAAGGGGCUGAUUUGAGUAAUCGGAUUAUUCGCGAAAAGGCCCUAUAUUUUAUGCGUCGAAUUGCGAGUUUUCGAACUUAGAGGGACUAUCGUGCGUUAUGCGACUGCUGGUUGAGAGCUGGGAUUAAAUAGAUUCCUUUCGAGGGGGUUUUCCGCGAGUUUUCCACACCUUUAUAUAGGUGGAUCUAGGGUUUUCUUGGACCAAACCCUAACCCUAGAACCCCCCAGCUGACCCCAGCCGCCCCUGCCAUCCCAGCACCUCCCUGCCCUGCCCGUGCUCGCGUUCCGGCCGCCGCCGAGCAGCCCCGGCCGCCGGAAACAGCCUGC
rnacentral:lncRNA from 1 species